ACACAGGGAAGGCGUCGGGACACGCGCGCGUGGGAAUAUAUGCGCGGGGAGAGAGUCCGUGAAAAUUCCAGGCGCGGGAGUGAGACGGCGGAGGCGGGAGAGGCGCGAUGCCAAGCGGGCAGACGCGCGCAUAUUUCCGCAAACUGAGCCCGAAUUUGCCAACUCCCCAAAAUUUGAACCAUUGGAGAGAAGAAUUUUCAUGUUUUGCCAAAAACAAGAUUUGCCUUGCCAAACCAUCGGAGUUGCUCUAACUCUCUGUCUCUCUGUUUUCUUCCUUCUCUCUGAGCUGCGGUAGCCGGCGGCGUUGAGGACGAGCGCGGCGGCGAGUGCAGGGCUGCGGUAGCCUGCCCUCAGCCACGGCCGAGGACCAGCCCGCAGCGCUCGACGCCGCGGGACGGGCGCUCGCCGACGCCCCCGCGGCGCCCCUCUACGCGCUGCUCCAGGAUGUUGCCAGUGUACACCUGGGACACGCCUUCGCCUCGAAAUGGAUGUAUAAAUGGCUUUCGGGCGCUGAAAACUACUGAAGUGAUUUUGGAUGCAAACGAGGGAUACACAGCAAAUCAAGCCAUUGAAGUUCUUGAUAGACUAAAUGAAAUGGGAGUGACCCCUGUGCUCUUUGAGCAACCAGUUCACAGAAACCGGAUUGGGACGGUCUCCGUGAUGUUAACUCUGUGGCCAUGGAGAAAUACAUAGGGCCUGGUUUCUCUUGCUAAAUUUUAGUUAGCUAAAAUUAUUUUAGCUACUCUUGGGUGACUAAUGGAACUAAACUAUUUAGCUCCUUUUAGUCAAUAUGUUUAGAACUUUAGCUACUAAAGUGACUAAAGUUUAGCUAGCUAAAUUUAGCAAGGUGAACCAAACAGGGCCAUAGUCUCUGUUUCUGUUGAUGAAAGCUGUCGGAGUUUACUUGAUGCUCAGAAAAUAAUAAAUGGAAAUCUUGCCGUGUUAUUAACA